CCUACGGGAGGCAGCAGUAAGGAAUAUUGGUCAAUGGACGAAAGUCUGAACCAGCCAUGCCGCGUGAAGGAUUAAGGCCCUCUGGGUUGUAAACUUCUUUUAUCUGGGACGAAAAAAGGGUAUUCUUACUCACUUGACGGUACCAGAGGAAUAAGCACCGGCUAACUCCGUGCCAGCAGCCGCGGUAAUACGGAGGGUGCAAGCGUUAUCCGGAUUUACUGGGUUUAAAGGGUGCGUAGGUGGGCUUGUAAGUCAGUGGUGAAAUCUCCGGGCUUAACCCGGAAACUGCCAUUGAUACUAUAGGUCUUGAAUUAUCUGGAGGUAAGCGGAAUAUGUCAUGUAGCGGUGAAAUGCUUAGAUAUGACAUAGAACACCAAUUGCGAAGGCAGCUUACUACGGAUAUAUUGACACUGAGGCACGAAAGCGUGGGGAUCAAACAGGAUUAGAUACCCUGGUAGUCCACGCCCUAAACGAUGGAUACUCGACAUCAGCGAUACACUGUUGGUGUCUGAGCGAAAGCAUUAAGUAUCCCACCUGGGAAGUACGAUCGCAGAUUGAAACUCAAAGGAAUUGACGG
rnacentral:rRNA from 1 species